GAAUUCACUAGUGAUUCAGGCCUAACACAUGCAAGUAAAACGAUCUUCUUCGGAAGAGAGCGGCGGACGGGUGAGUAACGCGUGGGUAACCUGCCCUGUACACACGGAUAACAUACCGAAAGGUAUGCUAAUACGAGAUAAUAUACUUUUAUCGCAUGGUAGAAGUAUCAAAGCUCCGGCGGUACAGGAUGGACCCGCGUCUGAUUAGCUAGUUGGUAAGGUAACGGCUUACCAAGGCGACGAUCAGUAGCCGACCUGAGAGGGUGAUCGGCCACAUUGGAACUGAGACACGGUCCAAACUCCUACGGGAGGCAGCAGUGGGGAA
rnacentral:rRNA from 1 species